GUAGAGGCCUUUCUAAAGGCCAACCAUGGAGGGAUGAAAAUAUUGG
rfam:Picea glauca, whole genome shotgun sequence.